UUUCUAGAGAUAGAUUGGUGCCUUCGGGAACUCAGACACAGGUGCUGCAUGGCUGUCGUCAGCUCGUGUCGUGAGAUGUUGGGUUAAGUCCCGUAACGAGCGCAACCCUUGUCCUUAGUUACCAGCACGUUAUGGUGGGAACUCUAAGGAGACUGCCGGUGACAAACCGGAGGAAGGUGGGGAUGACGUCAAGCCAUCAUGGCCCUUACGGCCAGGGCUACACACGUGCUACAAUGGUCGGUACAAAGGGUUGCCAAGCCGCGAGGUGGAGCUAAUCCCAUAAAACCGAUCGUAGUCCGGAUCGCAGUCUGCAACUCGACUGCGUGAAGUCGGAAUCGCUAGUAAUCGUGAAUCAGAAUGUCCACGGUCGAAUACGUUCCCGGGCCUU
rnacentral:rRNA from 1 species